GUUAGAACAGACAAAGCUAAUGACUCAUACGGACUUCGGCUUCACUAUCAAAGCUUUGAGAAACAAGAAGGGGCUUAGUUAGUGUUUUAGAGUCAAAUAUGACUUGAUGUAAUCUGUAUGAUUGAGUAUAAGAACUAGAACCACAACCGGAUCUUAAAAGUCUAAGUAGUGUUUCCUUGUUAGAAGAUACAAACCAAAGACUCAUACAGAUUUUCGAUUACACCAUUAAAACUUUGAGAAGCAAGAAGAAUCUUGGUUAGUGUUUUGGAGUCAAAUAUGACCAGACGACAUUUGUAUGAUUUAGUAUAAGAACUCGAACUACAACCUAAUCCCGAAAGCCCAAAUAGUGUUUCCUUGUUAGAACAUACAAAGCCAAUGACU
rnacentral:sRNA from 1 species